UACGUAGGGGGCAAGCGUUGUCCGGAAUCAUUGGGCGUAAAGCGCGCGUAGGCGGCCCGGUAAGUCCGCUCUGAAAGUCCAGGGCUCAACCCUGGAAAGCGGGUGGAUACUGCCGGGCUCGAAUCCGGAAGAGGCGAGUGGAAUUCCUGGUGUAGCGGUGGAAUGCGUAGAGAUCCGGAAGAACACCGGUGGCGAAGGCGGUUAGCUGGGCAGUUGCUGACACUGAGGCGCGACAGCGUGGGGAGCAAACAGG
rnacentral:rRNA from 1 species